UCAAGUAGAACCGACGGCGACGCGGCGACUGACUUUGAAGAUUUAGAAUUGAGUAUUAACAAGCAUCAAAGUCACCGUUGAAAGAUGUAAUGUACAACAUUUGAAGGGAUUACGAGGAUAAUUAUCAUUAUACAGGUCUCCCAGGAUGUGCUGUUUAACUAUGUAAAGCUAAAUAGGCUGAAGAAAUCACCAUUUUAACAGGUUUC